GGUUCUGUGGUGUAAUGGUUAGCACUCUGGCCUAUGAAUCCGGUGAUCUGAGCUCAAAUCUCAGUGGAAACU